rnacentral:rRNA from 1 species
UACGUAGGGCGCAAGCGUUGUCCGGAAUUAUUGGGCGUAAAGAGCUCGUAGGCGGCCUGUUGCGUCCGCUGUGAAAUCCCGGGGCUUAACCCUGGGCUUGCAGUGGAUACGGGUAGACUAGAGGCAGGUAGGGGAGAAUGGAAUUCCCGGUGUAGCGGUGAAAUGCGCAGAUAUCGGGAGGAACACCGGUGGCGAAGGCGGUUCUCUGGGCCUGACCUGACGCUGAGGAGCGAAAGCGUGGGGAGCGAACAGG